rnacentral:ribozyme from 1 species
UUUUUUUUUUUUUUUUUUUUUUCUUUGUUCCUCCCUAUCAGUCGGAAAUUCAUA